rnacentral:rRNA from 1 species
AACGAACGCUGGCGGCAGGCCUAACACAUGCAAGUCGAGCGAGGACUUCGGUUCUAGCGGCGGACGGGUGAGUAACGCGUGGGAAUGUGCCCUUCUCUACGGAAUAGCCCUGGGAAACUGGGAGUAAUACCGUAUACGCCCUAUUGGGGAAAGAUUUAUCGGAGAAGGAUCAGCCCGCGUUGGAUUAGGUAGUUGGUGGGGUAAUGGCCUACCAAGCCGACGAUCCAUAGCUGGUUUGAGAGGAUGAUCAGCCACACUGGGACUGAGACACGGCCCAGACCCCCAGGGGGGGCGGAAGGGGGGAUUUUUAAACAAGGGGGGCAACCUUGAUCUGACUAGCCCGUGGGGAUAUGGAGGGCUUGGGGUUUGAAAAACUCUUCCAGCGGGAAAGAAAAGCAGGUCCCCAGAAAAAGAGCCCCGGCCAACCCCGGUC